rnacentral:rRNA from 1 species
UACGGGGGGGACAAGCGUUGUUCGGAAUUACUGGGCGUAAAGGGCUCGUAGGUGGCCAACUAAGUCGGACGUGAAAUCCCUCAGCUUAACUGGGGAACUGCGUCCGAUACUGGAUGGCUUGAGUUUGGGAGAGGGAUGCGGAAUUCCAGGUGUAGCGGUGAAAUGCGUAGAUAUCUGGAGGAACACCGGUGGCGAAGGCGGCAUCCUGGACCAACACUGACACUGAGGAGCGAAAGCCAGGGGAGCAAACGGG